AUGAAAAUCAUCGGCUGGAACUGCCGGAGGCUCGGGAAUGGCCCGGCAGUUCGUAGUCUCCUUGAACUGGGGAGAAUGGAGGAGCCCGACGUACUUUUCUUGGCGGAGACGAAACUAACAGAAAAAUAAAUGGAGAGGUUCAGGUGGAUGAUGGGCUUGACACACAUGGUUGCGUGGAACCCAGAAGGGAGGAGUCGUGGGAUUGCUUUGUUCUGGCGUAGGGGAGUGGAGGUAUCGCCGCGGUCGUAUGGACUGAGGCAUAUAGAUGUGGACGUAACAGAGGAUGGUGGAAGGGUGUGGAGGUUGACGGGUAUGUAUGGGGAGUCCGAAACGGGGCGUAAGAAGGAAACAUGGAGGACUUUGAGAAUACUAGGACAACAACAUCAGAAUGGAUGA
rnacentral:rRNA from 1 species